rnacentral:rRNA from 1 species
GGAGCCGAAGCGAAAGCGAGUCUUAAUAGGGCGGUAAGUUGAAUGCUGUAGACCCGAAACCCGGCGAGCUAGCCAUGAGCAGGUUGAAGUUUGAGUAAAAUCAAAUGGAGGACCGAACUAGGGCCUGUUGAAAAAGGCUUGGAUGACUUGUGGCUAGGGGUGAAAUUCCAAUCGAGCUGGGAUAUAGCUGGUUCUCCCCGAAAUAACUUUAGGGCUAGCGUUAAACAAGAGUUUUAUGAAGGUAGAGCACUGAAUAGUAGAUGGUCCCACCUCGGGAUACUGACAUUAAUCAAACUCCGAAUGUCAUAAAACGCGUUUAGCAGUCAGACUGCGAGUGAUAAGGUCCGUGGUCAAAAGGAAAAGAGUCCAGACCGCCAAAUAAGGUCCCAAAAUAUAUGCUAAGUGGAGAAGGAUGUAGAGAUGCCUAAACAACUAGGAUGUUGGCUUAGAAGCAGCCAUCAUUUAAAGAGUGCGUAAUAGCUCACUAGUCGAGUGACUCCGCGCCGAAAAUGUACCGGGGCUAAGCAUAUUACCGAAUUUGCGGAUUCGAUACGAAAGUAUUGAGUGGUAGGGGAGCGUUCCAUAAUGGGAAGAAGCAAGAUCGAGAGGACUUGUGGACUAUAUGGAAGUGAGAAUGCCGGUGUGAGUAACGAAAAGACAGGUGAGAAUCCUGUCCGUCAAAAACCCAAGGUUUCCAGGGGAAGGGUCGUCCGCCCUGGGUAAGUCUGGGCCUAAGGUGAGGCCGAGAGGCGUAGCUGAUGGAUAUCUGGUGUAUAUUCCAGAACUAGUAUAAUGACUGAUGGAGUGACGAAGAAGGCUAGGAUCCGAUUCUUAGUGGAUUGAAUACGAGAUAUCAAGAGGGGAUGUAGGCAAAUCCGCAUCUAGAAAUCAAGAUAUGACAGGUAAAGGAUAACGAAGUCAAGCUUCCAAGAAAAGCUUCUAGGGUUAAUCAUUAUACUACCAGUACCGUAAACCGACACAGGUGGGUAGGAAGAGAAUUCUAAGACGCGCGAGAAAACCCUUGUUAAGGAACUCUGCAAGUUGGCCCCGUAAGUUCGCAAUAAGGGGAGCUCAUGUAAAAGUGAGCCACAGAAAAGAAGCCCAAGCAACUGUUUAACAAAAACACAGGUUUAUGCAAAACCGUAAGGUGAAGUAUAUGAGCUGACACCUGCCCGGUGCUGGAAGGUUAAAAGGAGAGGUUAGAGCAAUCGAAGCCUUGAAUUGAAGCCCCAGUAAACGGCGGCCGUAACUAUAACGGUCCUAAGGUAGCGAAAUUCCUUGUCAGGUAAGUUCUGACCCGCACGAAAGGUGUAAUGUCUUUGGGCACUGUCUCAACAGGGGACUCGGUGAAAUCAAACUGCCGGUGAAAAUGCCGGCUACCCGCGAUUAGACGGAAAGACCCCAUGGAGCUUUACUGUAGGUUGAUAUUGAUAUUUGGUAUGUAAUGUACAGGAUAGGUGGGAGACUAUGAAGCUAGGACGUUAGUCUUGGUGGAGUCGACGUUGGGAUACCACCCUUUGCCUAUCGAGUAUCUAACUAGUGUAAGUGGAUUACAAAGGACAGUGUCAGUUGGGCAGUUUGACUGGGGCGGUCGCCUCCUAAAGAGUAACGGAGGCGCUCGAAGGUUCCCUCAGAAUGGUUGGAAAUCAUUCGCAGAGUGUAAACGCAGAAGGGAGCUUGACUGCAAGACAAACAAGUCGAGCAGGGACGAAAGUCGGAGUUAGUGAUCUUACGGUACCGCGUGGAAGGGCCGUGA